GGACAUCUGGGGCUUCCCUGGUGGCUCAGAUGGUAAAGAAUCUGCCUGCAGUGUAGAAGACCCAGAUUCAAUCCCUGGGUCAGGAAGAUCCCAUGGAGAAGAGAAUGGCUACCCACUCCCGUAUUCUUGCCUGGAGAAUCCCAUGGACUGAGGAGCUGUGGGUUACAGUCCAUGAGGUCACAAAGAGUUGGACAUGACUGAGCAACUAACAUUUUCCCUGACCUCCCUAGAGGACAUCACACUUUUUUCUUUCAGGCCUUCAACUGAUUAGGUGAGGCCCACUCACAUUAUAGAGGGAAACCUGCUUCACUGAAAGUCUACUGAAAACCUCCACAACAUCACCUGGAUUAGUAGGCUAGGCCAUGGUCUAGCCAAGCUGGUACAUAAAUUAACCAUCACUGGCUGAUUUGUUACCUAGCAAUAGCUAACCAUAAUAGCCCCUCACAGCCUCUCAGCCCGCCGCUGCAUUGUGUGACUUUCCAAGUUGAGUGCUGUCUACGAGCUGGAUGCUGGGUUGGGAGCAGUACAUACAUGGCUUCGUUUAAUGCUCUGAAGAACUCCACGCUACUGGCACCACUGUCUGCAUUUUCUGGAGGAAGAAAUGGAGGUAGAAAGAGAGAUGAAGUGACUUGCCGGAGGUCCCUUGUUGGUGAGUGAUGAAGCUGGCGUUCAUGUCCGAGUCAAUCAGACAACAAAGCAAUGCUUGUGCUGGCUGCAUGAUGCCUCUCCAGCGCAUUUCUGGAACUCUGCUUUGCCCCUCUAGAGCUUUCCAAAUUUUUAAAACCAAGUCUUCGACUUCCCUGGUGGUCUGGGGGUUAAGAAUUCACCGGCCAAGGCAGGGGACAUGGGUUCAAUCCCUGGUCUGGCAAGAGUGCACAUGCUGCAGAGGCCAGUGCACCACAGCUGCUGAACCUGAGCCCCUAGAGCCUGUGCUCCCCAACAAGAGACGCCACUGCAGUGAGAAGCCUGCACACUGCAAUGAAGAGUAGUCCCCACUGUCCGCAACUAGGGAAAGAAUGCGGCAAUGAAGACCCAGUGCAGCCAAAAUAAAUGAGUAAAUAAUUAAAUUAAAAAAAAAAAAACAAAAAAAAAGUUAAAUAAAAUCAAGUCCUG
ensembl:lncRNA